GAUGAACGCUGGCGGCGUGCCUAAUACAUGCAAGUCGAGCGAACGGACGAGAAGCUUGCUUUUCUGAUGUUAGCGGCGGACGGGUGAGUAACACGUGGAUAACCUACCUAUAAGACUGGGAUAACUUCGGGAAACCGGAGCUAAUACCGGAUAAUAUUUUGAACCGCAUGGUUCAAAAGUGAAAGACGGUCUUGCUGUCACUUAUAGAUGGAUCCGCGCUGCAUUAGCUAGUUGGUAAGGUAACGGCUUACCAAGGCAACGAUGCAUAGCCGACCUGAGAGGGUGAUCGGCCACACUGGAACUGAGACACGGUCCAGACUCCUACGGGAGGCAGCAGUAGGGAAUCUUCCGCAAUGGGCGAAAGCCUGACGGAGCAACGCCGCGUGAGUGAUGAAGGUCUUCGGAUCGUAAAACUCUGUUAUUAGGGAAGAACAUAUGUGUAAGUAACUGUGCACAUCUUGACGGUACCUAAUCAGAAAGCCACGGCUACCUACGUG
rnacentral:rRNA from 1 species